UACGUAGGGAGCAAGCGUUGUCCGGAAUCAUUGGGCGUAAAGCGCGCGUAGGCGGCCCCGUAAGUCCGCUGUGAAAGUCAAAGGCUCAACCUUUGAAAGCCGGUGGAUACUGUGGGGCUAGAGUCCGGAAGAGGCGGGUGGAAUUCCUGGUGUAGCGGUGGAAUGCGCAGAUAUCAGGAGGAACACCAAUAGCGAAGGCAGCUCGCUGGGACGGUACUGACGCUAAGGCGCUAAAGCGUGGGGAGCGAACAGG
rnacentral:rRNA from 1 species